AACAGGAUUAGAUACCCUGGUAGUCCACGCCGUAAACGAUGUCGACUUGGAGGUUGUUCCCUUGAGGAGUGGCUUCCGGAGCUAACGCGUUAAGUCGACCGCCUGGGGAGUACGGCCGCAAGGUUAAAACUCAAAUGAAUUGACGGGGGCCCGCACAAGCGGUGGAGCAUGUGGUUUAAUUCGAUGCAACGCGAAGAACCUUACCUACUCUUGACAUCCACGGAAUUUGGCAGAGAUGCCUUAGUGCCUUCGGGAACCGUGAGACAGGUGCUGCAUGGCUGUCGUCAGCUCGUGUUGUGAAAUGUUGGGUUAAGUCCCGCAACGAGCGCAACCCUUAUCCUUUGUUGCCAGCGAUUCGGUCGGGAACUCAAAGGAGACUGCCGGUGAUAAACUGGAGGAAGGUGGGGAUGACGUCAAGUCAUCAUGGCCCUUACGAGUAGGGCUACACACGUGCUACAAUGGCGUAUACAAAGAGAAGCGAACCUGCGAAGGCAAGCGGACCUCAUAAAGUACGUCGUAGUCCGGAUUGGAGUCUGCAACUCGACUCCGUGAAGUCGGAAUCGCUAGUAAUCGUGGAUCAGAAUGCCUCGGUGAAUACGUUCCCGGGCCUUGUACACACCGCCCGUCACACCAUGGGAGUGGGUUGCAAAAGAAGUAGGUAGCUUAACCUUCGGGAGGGCGCUUACCACUUUGUGAUUCAUGACUGGGGUGAAGUCGUAACAAGGUAACC
rnacentral:rRNA from 1 species